AAGAGGUCUUGUCAUUCUUUUUUGCCUUCUAUUACCCUUCCACUCCAAAUUACGUUGGACAGUUCAAGUCCAAUGAAGCUCAGCCCGGUCUGAUCGCUGAUAUUCUGUAGAGUUCCGAUGAUCUGUUUCUAAAAAGUCACGGCGGUGAUCAUCAAGCAGGCAACAAUGUCAAACGUGGCAGCAGAAUGGCAACUCCUCUCCACAACUUUCUACCGCAAACAAGAAAUAUAUCAAAUGCAAUGGAAAACCAUCGAUUUAAGCCGAUACAAAAUCGCCUGCGCGUCGUUCGGCGGUCCAAUCGCGAUAAUCCGAGACGAUUCGAAGAUCGUGCAGCUCUAUUCCGAAUCAGCUCUCCGUAAACUCCGCAUCUUCAACUCCGCCGGAAUCCUUAUCUCAGAAACCGUGUGGAAACACCCCGGAGGCCGAUUAAUCGGAAUGUCAUGGACGGAGGAUCAAACCCUAAUUUGCAUUGUGCAGGACGGUACAAUUUAUCGCUAUAAUAUUCACUCGGAGUGUAUUGAGCCUAGUCUUUCCAUGGGAAAAGAGUGCUUCGAACAGAAUGUGGUGGACUGCGUGUUUUGGGGCGACGGUGUUGUGUGUUUGACUGAGGCUGGGCGGUUAUUCUCUGUGUCUGAUUAUAAGGAUGUGAAACCGGUUCAGUUGGCUGAUUAUAAAACGGCGGAGUUAGGGUUUGGUGUUGCUGAUGAGGAUGAGUUGCCACAUUGUAUGGCUGUGAUUGAGCCGCAGUUUACUGUAUCCGGGAAUGUGGAGGUGAUUUUGUGUGCGGGAGAUAGGAUUGUGAUUGUUGAUGAGGAUGAGGUGAGGCCUGUGAAUGUGAAGAUUAUCCAUGUUGACUCAAACCGUGAUGUUACGGAGGAGGUGGUCGAACUGGGGCCUAUUUUGAAAAUUGCUGUGUCUCGUGAUGGCAAGGUUUUGGCUUGUUUUACACAUGAUGGGAGUCUUGUGUUCUUGAAUAUCCAGUUUCAUUUGAUUUAUCAGUAUCAAUGUGAGUCAGCCCUUCCUCCAAAGCAAAUGGCCUGGUGUGGACUGGAUUCUGUGCUGCUUUAUUGGGAUGAUAUGCUUUUGAUGGUUGGUCCUUCUGAUGAUUGUGUGUCCUAUAUCUAUGAUGAACCAUUGAAUCUUAUACCUGAGUGUGAUGGAGUAAGGAUAUUAUCUAACACAAGUAUGGAAUUUCUACAACGGGUGCCUGAUUCCACUGUAUCUAUCUUUAAGAUAGGGAGUACCACACCUGCAUCUUUACUAUUUGAUGCAUUGGAUCAUUUUGACAGGCGAAGUGCUAAGGCAGAUGAAAAUUUGAGAUUGAUACGUUUGUCCUUGCCUGAUGCUGUUGAAGCAUGUGUUGAUGCUGCUGGUCAUGAAUUCAAUGUCUCUCGUCAAAGAACAUUACUAAGAGCUGCAAGCUAUGGCCAAGCCUUUUUUGGCUUUGGCAGCAAUUUUCAUCGUGAUGGUAUUCAGGAGAUGUGCAAAACUUUGAGGGUCUUGAAUGCUGUCCGAAACUCUAAAGUUGGCAUCCCUCUAAGUAUUCAGCAAUAUAAGUCCCUUACAGCGUCUGUUCUGAUUGGUCGCCUGAUUAAUGCUCAUCAGCACCUUCUGGCGGUACGAAUAUCAGAGUAUCUUGGAAUGAAUCAAGACGUGGUAAUAAUGCAUUGGGCGUGUUCAAAGAUAGCAGCUUCAUUGACAAUUUCUGAUGCAACUCUUCUUGAUAUCUUGCUUGAUAAGCUCAAACUAUCCAAGGGAAUAUCUUAUGCAGCAGUUGCUGCCCAUGCCGAUAAGAGUGGCCGUCGGAAGUUAGCCGCUAUGCUUGUUGAUUAUGAACCACGCUCCUCUAAACAGGUUCCUCUGCUAUUAAGCAUCGGGGAAGAGGAUACAGCUCUAAUAAAGGCAACUGAAAGUGGUGAUACUGACCUUGUAUACCUUGUUCUCUUUCAUAUAUGGCAAAAGAGGCCAGCCUUAGAAUUUUUUGGAACAAUACAAGCGAGACCCUUAGCACGUGAUUUGUUUAUAGUUUAUGCACGGUGCUAUAAACAUGAAUUCUUGAAAGACUUCUUCCUAUCAACUGGACAGCUUCAAGAUGUCGCUUUUCUUUUAUGGAAAGAAUCAUGGGAAAUGGGGAAAAAUCCAAUGGCAAGUAGAGGAUCUCCACUUCAUGGUCCACGCAUAAAGCUCAUCGAAAAGGCCCAACAGCUUUUCUCAGAGACCAAGGAACAUGUUUUUGAGUCAAAAGCUGCUGAAGAGCAUGCAAAGCUGUUAAGAAUUCAACACGAGAUAGAAGUAUCUACAAAGCAGGCCAUAUUUGUUGAUUCUAGCAUAAGUGAUACCAUCAGAACAUGCAUUGUAUUAGGGAAUCAUCGGGCUGCUACAAAAGUGAAAACAGAGUUUAAGGUUUCUGAGAAAAGAUGGUACUGGCUUAAAGUUUUUGCUUUGGCAACAAUCAGAGAUUGGGAUGCUCUAGAAAAGUUUUCUAAGGAGAAGAGACCGCCAACUGGUUACAGACCAUUUGUGGAGGCGUGCACUGAUGCUGACGAGAAAGGUGAAGCUCUGAAAUAUAUUCCCAAGCUUUCUGAUCUUAGAGAGAGGGCAGAGGCUUAUGCUCGGAUUGGCAUGGCAAAAGAAGCAGCAGAUGCCGCUUCUCAGGCAAAAGAUGGAGAAUUGCUUGGACGAUUGAAACUGAGCUUUGCACAGAAUUCAACAGCUUCAUCAAUUUUUGAUACUUUUCGAUCGUCCUUCCAAGGUGUAUGAUAGUCAGGCAGCAAGAUGGAGAGGUGAUUAAGCUAGCUGAGGAAGCAACUCUUCAUUUAAUACUCCGGUAGGGAACUAUGGCACCCAAGUCUAUGCUCUUGGUGGAAUGAGAAUCUCAAUAGAAAACUAUAGUGUCUGAUUCUCUAAUUUUGGUAGAACGAAAACCUUGAUACGAACUAAAUUUCUGAUUUUGUUGGAAUGAAAAUCUCGAUAAAGAAUUGUACCAUCUGACUCUCUAACUUUUAGAGACUUAAAGGCACAAAAUUCUACCCGUCCUCGAUUAGAUCCAUCUGUUCAUAUGAAUGUGCAAGCUAAGGAAACUUGUUAAGAUAGAAGCUUUUGAUUUCCUCUGCCUCUUAAUCCUACUUUGCUUACAUUCAUGAAAGUGCCAUUAGAAACUGCUUACAUCCAUGAAGACGUCAUUAGAAAAGUUGAGGAGAUAUUUUGAAAUUCAUGUUAUUUGGUCAGAAGCAACCGGCCGUUGAGCAAAGUAUUGCUGAGCCAUAAACAUCAGGAAGACUUUUAGCUAUGUCAUACGACAUCAGGUAUGGAUCUCAAAUUAGAGGCCCUUUCUAAUUGAAGAGUAACUUCCUCAAGCUGGUCAUGCGAUUGGGUUUGCGCCGGGAUAAUACUCUCAUGGCUGGAGAAUGUAUCUAAAGUAAUCGGUCAAGUUUGAUUUCUAUGCUUUGAUUAAAAUGGCGGAAUACAAAGCGAUGUGGUUAAGGGUUGCAAAUGAAAGAGUUGUGAAAGCUGAACACUUGAUGAUCAAAAGUGGCUCCAAACUUGUAGUGAAUCAAAUAAGAGGAACGUUUGAAGUAAGAGAUCUGAAAAUGAGAAAGUAUUUUGACUGAACAAAGAGCUUGAUAAGUUGGAAGAAGAGGGCAGAAGACGGGAACUUCAUCAUGUACCAAGAGCUGAAAAUGAAGAUGCCAACCUACUGUCUAAGGCUGCAGCAACAGAGGAGCAUCUGCAAGGAAUUUCUUUCAUGGUUCAACCAAGCUUUAAUAUAGAAAAGCCAUAAAGAAGCCUCUUGAGGAAUUGAUGUAUAGAUUGGCCAAGUAUUUGGAAACAAUACAUCGCGAGGAAAGGAAAAAAGUUGAUAAGAUUUCCGGAAGGAUGUAAGCGAAGUAGAAUUAAGAGGUAGAAGAAAUAAGAAGGUUCUAUUUUUAACGAGUUUCCUUAGCUUGCAUAUUAUGUGGAAAAGAAGAGCUAUAGAGGGUUUAAUUGAAGAGGAGUAAAAUUUUGUGCUUUUUAAAGGUUAGAGACUCAGGUGCUAUAGUUCGUUAUUGAAAUUUCCAGUCUACAAAAAUCAGAAACUUAAGUGAUAUCCUAUCAAGGUUGUCGUUCUCGUUCUACCAAAUCAGAAAUUUAGAUGCAAUAGUUUUGUGUUGGGGUUCCCAUUCCGUCAAGAGUGGAGACUUAGGUGUCAUAGUGUCCUACCAGAGUUUUAAAAGAAGACUUGGCUCUUCUGCCAAUUUACCUUCUUCUUCUACUGUAAUAAGUUAGGUUCUAGUCCUGGUUGUGAAUGAGUUCGAGCAGCUCCAUUGAUGGAGUUUGUACUAAGAAUUCCUUUUAAUUAUUAUUUCAGAACUAAUCAAGCUGAUUCUUCUUCUGGUGCAA